UACGUAGGGUGCGAGCGUUGUCCGGAAUUAUUGGGCGUAAAGAGCGUGUAGGCGGUUCGGUAGGUCCGUUGUGAAAACUCGAGGCUCAACCUCGAGACGCCGAUGGAAACCAUCGAACUAGAGUCCGGAAGAGGAGAGUGGAAUUCCUGGUGUAGCGGUGAAAUGCGCAGAUAUCAGGAAGAACACCCGUGGCUAAGGCGGCUCUCUAGUACGGUACUGACGCUGAGACGCGAAAGCGUGGGGAGCGAACAGG
rnacentral:rRNA from 1 species